GGAUAAUGGGAGUAGUAAGGCCUCAGGAUGCUGUGCUGGGCCCAACAGACUUCUUUCAAAGAUCCACUCCUAGGUCCUUGAGGCAGUUUCCAGGCUCCCAGGAAACCUAGCUGGACUCUUGGCAUGCAGAUGGUGAACAUCUCAGAAAGUUGCAGAAGCCCAUGGAGCUGUGUGAAGACUCUGCAUCCAUCCAUCCUCCAGUUACUUUCAUGUUCCUU